UACAGAGGGGGCAAGCGUUAUUCGGAAUUAUUGGGCGUAAAGGGCGCGUAGGCGGCCUGGCAAGUGGAAGGUGAAAUCCCUCGGCUUAACCGAGGAACUGCCUUCCAAACUGCUUGGCUUGAGUCCGGGAGAGGUGAGUGGAAUUCCUAGUGUAGAGGUGAAAUUCGUAGAUAUUAGGAAGAACACCAGUGGCGAAGGCGGCUCACUGGUCCGGUACUGACGCUGAGGUGCGAAAGCGUGGGGAGCAAACAGG
rnacentral:rRNA from 1 species